AACGAACGCUGGCGGCAGGCUUAACACAUGCAAGUCGAGCGCCCCGCAAGGGGAGCGGCAGACGGGUGAGUAACGCGUGGGAAUCUACCCAUCUCUACGGAAUAACGCAUGGAAACGUGUGCUAAUACCGUAUACGUCCUUCGGGAGAAAGAUUUAUCGGAGAUGGAUGAGCCCGCGUUGGAUUAGCUAGUUGGUGGGGUAAAGGCCUACCAAGGCGACGAUCCAUAGCUGGUCUGAGAGGAUGAUCAGCCACACUGGGACUGAGACACGGCCCAGACUCCUACGGGAGGCAGCAGUGGGGAAUAUUGGACAAUGGGCGCAAGCCUGAUCCAGCCAUGCCGCGUGGGUGAUGAAGGCCCUAGGGUUGUAAAGCUCUUUCACCGGUGAAGAUAAUGACGGUAACCGGAGAAGAAGCCCCGGCUAACUUCGUGCCAGCCGCCGCGGUAA
rnacentral:rRNA from 2 species